GCCAGAGUGCUGAAAUUGGCAGACAGGCACGCCUCAGAAGCGUGUGUCCAUACGGACGUGUGGGUUCGAGUCCCACCUCUGGCA
rnacentral:tRNA from 1 species